UUUUCAGCGAAGGGGUUACUUGACCCAAUUCUUAAUUCUGAGGAAGUGUAGCCUGUGUUACGGAAGAGCUGCUGGACAGUGAGGUUUCUGGGUGACAUUUUAGGUUAUUGGGUCACAGAUUGCUGGCACACUCAUCCCUGUUCUCAAAUAUCUUUUAAACAUGGGUGAAGUGAUAAGUAGGGGAAGAUGAUUUACUGAAAGCAAUGCAGAGUCUCCCGAGAACAGAUUCAGACUGAACAGAUUUGUGUCAGACUUUGGGAGACCGCUGGUGCCCAAGAUGUUCUCUGGCAGGUCAAUGACGAAUCUAGGUCCAUCUUUCACAGCUACAUCAAUGAAGUGUGACACUUCGACAAGGCCAAAGCUGGUAUCCCAACCAUAGCCCUUGACAGUGAUGUUCGGCUCCAGGAAGCCAUCAGAUGCAGCAGGUGGCCAGAGGAGGAGCCGAACUUGCUCAUGAAAUGUGACAUCCCCAACUUCAUCAACACGGACCAGAACUCUUCCUUUGGGGAAGAUGAUCUGAUUUUCGAACCACCGAAUGUUCUAGAAAAUAAGCCAGUUGCCCAGACCCCACACAAAGACUUGAAUUGAGAAACGUGCAUUGUCAGGUGUAUUUUUGAAGAUAUGAAUUUUGUCUUUGUAUGGCAGGAAGUCCCUUUUCACAAAAUUGUAUGUGUUUUUGUCUGAGAGAGAGAAAUGGAGACAGACAGAAAGACGAAGAAGCAGAAGAGAGCCCCCUCAGAAGAGAGCUAGUUAAGCAUCCCAGACUGACGAAGACAGUGGAGAAUGCCUCUGAGUUUGGCACUGAUUGCCUGGAGAAUGCUGAAACCCAGGGAAGUGGGCAGCACAGACGUUUACUCAUUUAAUCCUGCCAACACAGUAGGAGAUAGAGUCCACAUAUUCCUCGCUACUUAAAAGAUCCCUGCCUUCUCUCUGCUCCUCCUGUCCAUGUCUCUCCCCCCACUUUUCCCCUUCUCCCCUCCUCCUCCCAUCUUCUCCGUCCCUCGCUUCCCCACCUUCUCUCGCAGAACCCAGAGAGGAUCGCUGGCCCUCCUGCGCAUGCGCAGUCGGUGCCAGCUGGAACGAGGGUUGGAAGCUCCAGCUCAGAGCAUGGGAUCGGCCCCAAAUUCUACUCAGCUCUUUCGCCUGGUAGGACUUUUGCUCCUGCCCCGGCGCCACGGCCACAGCUGUCCAGGGCCAGGUGUGCACCUGCCGCCUCUCGCCCCAGCCGGGCUCCCCUGAGUCCGCGGCUGGAGUCCCUUUCCCCUCUCCCGCCCGCGAGUCCUCUCCUCCCGGGCUGCCUCUCCUCGGCCGCCGGCCCGUCCCUGCCCCUGGGAGGGCUGUGUCCCGGGCGGGCGGGGUCUGCGGACACGGAUGGGGGCGGGCGGCUGGGGCUGGGGCUGGCCUCCGAGCGGGGCUACUGCCCGCGUCCCCCCCCCGGCUUUCCCUGCCCCGCGACCCCGGGGCUGCCCUCGUCUCCCUUCCCCUCUCCCUGGGGGCCAGCUCAGUGUUGUGGGCGCUCCUCCCCGGGCUGAGAGCCUCCGGCUGUGAACCCCAGCUUCUGCUGGUGGAGUCGGGAAAAGGGAGCGUCAGUCCUGAGGGAGUUUCCGUCUCCUCCCUCAGUGUUUCUGCCCCAGUGUAAGAAUUCCGGUGACUGAGUUAGAAGCAUGCUUCCAAGCUGUCCGUGUCCUCGGCAUCCAGAAGCGGAGCCUGGAAGCUUCCGAAUUUCUCCAGAAUGCAGUCUACAUUCACCUUCGGCAGUACGUUUUGGUUACUGAGUCCCUCGAAUUCCCAUAUGAAUAGUAGCAGCAGCUAGUCAGUUACUGCAGAGGAGCCCGCUGAGAUUGUGAUCGAGACCACGUUGAGUAUACAGAUCGCUCUGGGGAGCACUGCCAUCCCAAGAGCGCUGUCAUCUGAUCCAGGAAUGUGCGUGGUGUGUCUGUCCAGGGGAAAAGAGUACAAUUCAAAAAUAUAAAGAUUGUGAGCUAAUGAGAUAGACAAGACAACCGAACAUUUGUUAAAUAUCCUUUCAUGCCGGAAACAAAUGUAUUAUACACACAAAAAGCACACAAAUCACGGUAGUACUGCGGUUACAAACGUGGGUCCGAGUUCGAGUCCUGCUCUGGAGUGACCAGUCCUGUGAGAUGGAGAACUGAGUUCUAUGUAUAGUUGGUUACAUUCUAUACCUGGAAAUUUCUCCAAAACUGCUUCCCACGUGCCCUCACCUCCAGUGGCAUCCAUCCAGACACCAGCACUGACACUGGCCGUGCUCACAACUGCCUUAGCCCUGAAGACACAACUGACAAAUAGAAGGGGGCUAUGCCCUAAGACAGCAGGUGCUCUUACUUUGUGGGUCCUUAUGUAACUGCGCGGUGUUAUUCAGGAUCGCCCGUUCUACACUUUGUGACGCUGCUGCCGUGUCUCCUAGUUAUUUCUGAUCUGAGAAGCAGGAGCAAGGAACUCAGGGAGAGAUCCAGGAAGACAUCUGACUCUGUUAAGAGACGACAGUCACAGCGACACGGGGAGCGAGGACACUUGCAGCAAAGUAAAAUGACUUCACAACUAUUGCAUCAGAGCUGCAGGUGUGAGAGAGCCUAAGCCUGUCUCAGAGUGCAGGGGACAAGAGGAAAGGAAUGUGUAAGAAUGCCGGUGACUCAGUUAGAAGCAUGCAUCCAACCCGUCCUUCCGUGUCAUCACCAUCUAGAAUCGGUGCCUGAAUCUUCUGAAUUUCUCCAGAAUGUGGUUUAAAAUCACCUUCGACAAUUGAGUG